UACGUAGGGUGCGAGCGUUAAUCGGAAUUACUGGGCGUAAAGCGUGCGCAGGCGGUUCGUUAAGUUCGUUGUAAAAGCCCCGGGCUCAACCUGGGAACUGCAAUGGAAACUGGCGGGCUUGAGUGUGGCAGAGGGGGGUGGAAUUCCGCGUGUAGCAGUGAAAUGCGUAGAGAUGCGGAGGAACACCGAUGGCGAAGGCAGCCCCCUGGGCCAACACUGACGCUCAGGCACGAAAGCGUGGGGAGCAAACAGG
rnacentral:rRNA from 1 species